rnacentral:tRNA from 1 species
AAGGGGUUAGUUUUAACGAAAACAAGAGAUUUCGGCUCACUAGAUCUUGGAACCACCCCAAGACCCCUAA